ACUAAAAUCUGACUUAUUUCCCAUGCAUGUGCAUUUGUAUAUAUAUGUACAUAUGCAUAUAUAUACAAGUAGGAAAUAUACAGCUGUGUAUAUUUCCUAUUUAUAUCAAUUGAGGAACAUAAAUACGAAUCAUAUUUUAUACAGAUAAAAUAAAAACAUGGAGAUCAAAUUCCAGCAGCAAAUAUUUCAUAAUAUAAAUGAAUUUUGGCUAGAAGAAAAAUAUUAGGAUCUAGAAAAAGUAAAACAGCCAGAAAAUUCAAUAAAAUGUAUAUAAGUACUUUAUGAAUAGCAAGCUGUUGUUAAAAUAUAAAAAAGAGGCACUAUUCCAGCCUUUGAUAAUUUUAUAAGAAUAGAAGAACCCAAAUGCAUUAUAUAUAAUAUAUCAUGUAAUAUUUACAAAAAUAGAAGAACUCAAAAGCAUUCUCUGGCUUUGACAUGGGACUUUUUUUUUUUUUUUUUUUUGCCUGCAUUUCCACUCCAGAGAAUGAUGGGGUCAACCGCUGAUGACUAUGCUUAUCACCAGAUUUCUGUGACAACAAAACUUGAAUUUUGUUUUCCAAUACCCUUGUCCACUUAGCUUUGAUUGUAAGGAAAAAUUGUUGGUGACUGUAAGGGCACAAAUGUUAUAUCUUUUUGCAGUAUAAAUUUUGUUUUACCUCAGGAUGAGAGCAGACACUUGUCUCUCCAAUGUUUUCAUAAAUUUAUACCAUUUGUCAUAGAGCAGAAACAAAAGGAUAAAUAGGAAUCAAUGAAAAUCCAUAUGUAUUACUGGUAAUAUAACUCAGGGCAGAAGUUCUGUUGCUCAUGUUGGGAAUGGUAUUCUCAGGUCGGAGGGCAGCAUUGCUGUGAAUUCUGAUCCAGGAAGACUGGGAGCUUCAAUUUCUGCACACAAGAGAGUCAUUUUGGCAGUGUUGGUGGACAGGAAGCCACAUCUAUCACCAAGACGUAAGAGUUCUUUCCGUUUUGUACACAUGCUUGAAAGGAAAAUUCUAGAGAUGUCACUGAACAUCUCGGUCCUUCUCCAUGAGUUUGCACAUAGUAUUUUCAGAAGCAGUUUUAUAGACCACUUCCUAAUUUUGUAUUUCUUUUCUAGAACAUUGAUUUUAUCAGGCAGCACUCACAUUUUCUUAACUGCCCUGCUAACUGAUUUCUUUAUGCAAGAGUGUGUGCUACAGAAAGGCAAAAAUUUCCUGGCCAAGUGACCAGAACUCAAACUAGAGUAUAGAAAAAGUAUGACAAAAUGCUUUCAUUAUUAAGAAAACUCAGUGCAUUUUGCAUUAAAAUAACUGACUAUAUCUUAGGAAAUGGAGAACAACCUAGAUAAAGUGUAAGAUUGUUAUUUUCUAGCUCAGGAAGAGCAGAACAAUCAAUAUUCAUAAUGAGCAAAACAAAAACCACAUCUAUAAAUCUUUGAAAAUGAGCAGGUCAAGUAACAUGAGUCUUGUCUUUCAAAACUCAUUGCAUUUAACAAAGUCAGGAAUGAUUAAAAGUUGUGAAAUUUAUUUUAAAAUCAUACCAACCAUACCACAUACUACUUUAACAAACAAUUUAGAAACAUUUCUUAAAUAUCUUAAUGCAUGUCACAAAUCUAUUAUGGGCAGGAUAGAAUUCUUUCCCAAUGACUCUACACUGAUUUUCAUAGUGAUGUAAUAGGAAAGCCCUGGUAAAGAUGCCUAGGACAGUUCAAGAAAUCAGCAGGGAAACAGGGGCCAAUUGUUAGCAGCUCUGAGUCGAUGUUUGUCAUCACUUCACCAGCAGUGUCUAUCCAGAACUGAGCUACAAGCUCCAGGAACUCUGCAUUGAGACCGCCAGGGUCUCCAGAGAAUGCCCUGCCAUCAGAGGGAGCACAAUCUACCUGCCACAUGGGAGACUUUUCUUAGCAGGAUACCAAAGAAAAAUCCUCAAUAGCCAGAAUUCUCUGCAGAGAACCCAGCCAACAGUAACACGACUAUCUUCUGAAAAAUCCUCAUGACAUAGUAUUUUAGAAUAUGAUUGCUGUUAGAAGCCCCAGUAGUACUGUUCUACUUAAAGUUUUUCAGAGGUAAAAUAAUUCUUGCAUAAUGUCCACAAUCACAGCAUAUACUUGAUUCUUUGGUGUUUUCUUCAACCUGUUUUGCAGGUACAGAAAGAGAUGAAGGAGUUGAGUUGCUCAUAGUCAUAUAGCUAUCUCUAGAGAUUUGUGAUUUAUUUCACAUUUAUUAAUUAGAAGCUCAAAUGUGAAAUGUUUGACCCCAUGACCAAUAUUUUACAGGAUAAAGAGAUUCAUAUUCAUUGGGGUAUAAAAGAUGCCAUGCUAUUUGGCCAUAUCAUAGUUGAUUUGAUGAAGUAAAAUGAAAGUAGUCAUGGAGUUUUGCAUUUCUUUAACCACAUAUUCAUACUUUGCCUAAUUAAAAAGAGAAGUAAAUUCAUAAUACCACCUAAUAUCCAUUAGCAGAAAUACUUCUUUGAGCAUGGAUUGGGUGUCUAGGUCUCCAAGUCUUAUAUUUUCCACCUUCCAAUUAACUCCCAUUAAAGUCCUGCUGAGACUAAAAAAAAAAAAAUACAGAAAGGAGUCCUGAGUAAACAAAUGUAGAAAUCAUGCUUUGUAUAAUUAUCCAAAGUCCUUUGUCUUUUGCUUGUAAGGUACAAUAUAGAAAAGGCUCUUGGCAGAUAUCUAAGAGUUUUUAUGAGUGAUGUCGCGAUCUACUGAACAAAGACACAUUUGUCGAGUUUCAGAUUCAGACGCUGGCUUGGCUCUUCAGAGGCCGGUCAUUAAGUGUUUGUUCUUGGGGAUGGACAAGACUAGUUUGAAAACUUCCUAAUGCUUUUACAAGCCAUUUGCCAUAUAUUAUGAAGUACUGCUCGUGUAGUGCGUAAGAAACAAUACACGUAUGUCACUAAAAAGGCAAGCAAUCUUAGAAAGACAGCAUGCCUGGGAAACAGAAACAUUUGCAAAACCUAGAUUAGAUUGCACAAUUUGAAGAUGAAGAAAUGAAUUCCUUAGCAUAUCUAGAAAGGCAACAUGGGCAGUAUUAUACGGUAGACUGUGUAUAGUUUAUAACCUGUAGACAGCUGCUGCCUGUUGGUAUUGGACAAGUUGCUAAAAUCUCCCAACCUCCAUUAAUUUUCAUGAUGGGGGAAGCAAUUCUAGCAGCCUUGAAAGCUAAUAAGAAAAUCAAUUAAGAUUGUGUCCUAAAAGUGCUUUGUCAACUAAAAUUCUACAUAAAUGAGAAUACUACUAAAACAAUAUAAUGAUCAUCACAGUAACAGUAGCAACUGAUAUUUAAAUAGUUACCCUAUGCUAAACACUAAACUAAGGCCUUCUAUGAGUUUUCUUGCUGGGUUGAACAUUUUAUUAACUUCAUGUUCCAAAAUAGGAUAUUGUGAAACUUAGAUUGAAUAACUUGACCAAGGUCUGUUUGGUACCCAUAAUUUUAGUUUAACCUCUGAACUGAAUUUUGCCUUGCUUAUUAUAAUGAUAAUGAAAGCCAAUAAUUCAUUUAGGAAUGAUUGUUUUAUUUUUAUAUAUUUCAUUAAGGUAAUUACUGCUAAUAUUUUACUGACUAGUUUAACCACUAGCUUGCCAUUAUUUAAUACAUGUUCUCUAUGUGCAGGAUACUCAUAAAGUUCUAAGGAAAUAAUUAACAAAACACAAAAUUAAGAUUUGUUUCUAGGGUUGCAGAACUUGUGUAAUGAAGGCUAGAGAACACUUAAGCAAAGUGACAACUAAUACAAAUUUAUGUAUGCUGAAUUUUAUGUAAUCAAUUUCUGAGAAGUAGAAAUACAAAAUACUCCAGCAAUAAUAUACUCUUACUCCUUAAUUUCAUAAUUCCUAUUUUCUCUUUCUUUUAUUUAAUUUCUUUAUUAUAAAUAUUUCUUGGGUAGUAGAACUAUCAGUUGGUCUGUAGAUCUGUGAGGAUUCUAGAACAACCCUGUCUAUUAGCCAAAUAUAUCUAUUUAAACAAUAUUUAAAUUAAUUAAGAUUGAAAAAUCUUAAAGCUGCUUGUCUCUCACAUGAAUCAUAUAUUCAGUGUUCAGCAGCCAUUUCUGGCCACUGGCAAUCACAUUGGAAGGGAAGAUAAAUUUCCAUCACUGCAGAGAGUUGUAGUGAGUGCUGCUCUAAAGCAUAAAAUUGACACUCUUCCUCUCCUGUGAUUUGGUGGAGCCUAGAAGACUUUCAAGUCCUAAAUGAAAGAGAAUUUAUAGGGAUUUUUAGGGUAGAAACUUGGAAAGAGAAGGAAUUUUUUAUUUUUCAACAGAAUAGAUGAUCAAAGCAUCAAGGCUUGGGCAGUUGUGUUAACCAGACAGACUUUCUGGUGCUAACUGGGAUGUACUCAUCAGAGUUUGUGACUUACACAGAGAGUGAAUGAUAUGAGAAAGAAUGAGCCACAACUCCAACCAGAGCACUCAGAGCCCUUCAGAGACGGCCCCUUAGGUACAUGAAAUGGCCCAAACAAAGGCAUAGUGUCUUGACAGGGUCUCCUUACUUGGUCAUGGUGAGAGGUGAUUUCAGUCUAAUUGAAGCUUCAAAAGAGAAGAAGGUGGAAAAAUGGUGUUGGGGAUUAGAAACCAGGAAGAAACUGCAAUAGACCUUAUAUUCUCCAGCAUGUUUUAUUUGGUGUAUCCAUCAGGACACACAGGGAAACGUCAGAAGUCCUCAAGCCAGUGAGUGACAUGACUGACUUAAAUUCAUUUUUCAGGAAGAUAAUUAAGGUAGCUAUGGGAAGAAACUUAGAGUGGAGAUCAACUCCUGGAUUUUUUCUUGUUAUUAUUAUUGUGUUCUGUCAAUCACAAUCCCUUAUAGUUCAAAAUAAAAGCAACUUAUAAAAGAUCUAUUCAUUUUCCCACAUUAAAGGAUAAAGAUACUAAAAGGACAAAUUAAUACUUUGUCAAAUAUGCCUUGGUAAAAGACUAUUAGGAUUGCCUGAAAAAUUCAGUUAUCAUUUACUAAAUAAAUAACAAAGGUUUUUGAGAGAAAACAAAGCCUAUUCUUGGUGGGUAUAUUUAUUUUUUAUAGUAUUGAUUGAUUUUGUAAAAUUAUACAGUUAAAGCUUUGGAAUAAUGUACAGGUAUCAUAGUGGGAAUAAAAUGGAAAGAUAGAUGAAAUACCAAAGAUAGGAAGAGGUCAGAAUGAGUCAGGGCACCCUCACUGGGCUAGUGUUUGGCUUGUUUUGAAAGAUUUGAUAAAAGGAGAGACUGGGUCCCAGAGGUUCUGAACUCUAUCUAGCCAGGUGCAAGACCCUGGCCCCACACUCCUGAGGUCUGUCCUAGUAAGCCAAAUGGAUUUUGGAGGUUCUGAAAUCCACUCAGCCAGGCCCAAGGCCCUGGCCCAGUGCCACACUCCAGGGGUGCAUCCCUGCUUGCUGAAUAGAGAAUUUGAGCUCUGCCCAACCCAAUGUCCCAGAGCAAUCAAUCUAGGGAAUGCUUGGCCAGCCAUACAGUCUCCACAAGUUCUGAGCCCUGCCCAGCCCAGAGCCCUGGGGCCUACUAUCAGAGAGUGAACAGCCUAACCAAGAGGUCCUAAAGAUUUUGAGCUCUGUCCAUCACAGCACAAGACCCUGGUGCUAUAGUUCAGGGUUUCGCAUAGUUAGCCACUUCAGUGAGGAUCAAAGUUCUGCUCAACCCAGAAGCCCAGUGCGAUCCAUAGAGAAGGUGGCUGGUCAGCCUCACAGGUCCCAGAAGAAAAUGACAAAAUGGAAGAGCAAGAUGCAGUCUCAGUCCUCCAUCCCACUGAGAACAAACAGGGAAAUGGAACCCACUGGAAAUUGCACAACUGAACUUUCUGAAAUGAUAGCAACUGAAGUAAAUAAAAAACUCCAUGAAGCUAUGAGGAAAUCAGAUCAGAAAUAAUCUCUCAAGUAAAAAAGAAAUGACAAAUGUUAUCAAAGAAAUGCUGAGUUAUCUAAAGAAGAUCUAGGUAAAAAAAAAUAGAGGAUACAUAAGAAAACGAUGGAAACCUUUGAAUGAACAAUACAAGGCAGAAUUAGAUUGCAUGAAAAGGAAUAUUCAGGAAAUUAAAAAUUCUAACUCAAGCAGGCAACACUGCCUGAAUGAAGCUGCACUGAAGAUAGACUCUCAGACCUUGAAGGCAGAAUGUAAGCUUAUGAUCACAAAAGAAAAGAUCUCUCCGAAAUAACAAGCAACCAGGAAACAACAGUUCAACAGCUGCAAAAUGAUGCAAAGAGAAACAAUAUAAGACUGAUAGGUUUUUAAAAAAGAGAGGUCAACACAAAUGAUAUAAGAUAAAGUAAUAAUAGCAAACAAUUUUCCAAGCAUGAGAAAACAAUCUGCUAUAGAGAUAAGUGAGGCAUAUAGAACCCUAAUUAGCCAUAACUAAAAUAAAUCUUCAUGCAGAUAUACAACAAAUAGGAUCCCUGAAACUUAGCACAAGAACAGAAUGCUAAAACCUGUCACAUAAAAGAAACAGAUCACCUUUGAAGGAAAGCUGAUCAGAAUCACAUCAGAUUUCUCAACAUAAACCUUCUAGUUUUUUGACUUGGAGUGAAGCAUUUCAACUUCUAAAAGAAAAAAACUUCCAAUCCAGAUUGAUGUACCCUGAAAAAAUAUCUUUCAAAAUUGAUGGAAAAAUAAGAUACUUUCAUGACAAAGAACAACUGAAGAAAUUCAUGAUCAUCAAACCAACACUACAAAGAGUACCUAAAGAUAUUCUAGAAAGAGACAAAGAUGAUUACAGUUCUAAGAACAACAGCACAAUGAAACCACCAAGCAGGGCAAACACUGCUUGCCCUGCAGAAAAAUAACAUUACAAUUAAGUCAGUACAUAUCAGUUAUACCUAUCAGUGUAAAUGGCCUCAACUCACCAAUAAAAAGAAACAUACUGGCAGAUGGAUUAUGAAACAAAACCCAACAAUAUGCUGGGUACAGGAAACAUACUUAACUCAAAACAGUACUCAUAGACUAAAACUCAAAGGAUGGAAAACAAUACUCCAUGUGACAGAAACCUAGAAAAAAGCAAGGGUAGCUAUUCUGUUUGCAGACAAUGUGAACUUUAAGCCAAAAAUGAUCAAAAGAGCUAAAGAAGGUCACUACAUAUUUGUUCGGGGGAAACUACAAAAGGAAGAGAUUAAAAUAAUAAAUAUAAAUGCACCAAAUAUGUGAGCACCCAACUAUGCAAGACAAAUCUUAAUAGACGUGAAAAAUCAAAUAAGCAAUAAUGUACUUAAAUGGGGAACCUUAACAUCCCAUUGGCACAAAGCGACAGAUCAACCAAAUAAAAACUCAGCAAAGAAACAACAGAACUGAAUCAAAAUUGUGAACAAAUGGACUAAGCAUACAUGACAGACUGUUCCAUCCAACAAGAGUAAAAUACACAUUCUUGUUAGUUGUUCUCAAAAUUAUAUAUUAGCAUACAGGACAUGCUUAACUAAAUGCAAAGAAAUUGAAAUAAUCCCAUGCAUAUUAUCUGACUAUAGUGCAAUAAAAUUGGAAAUUAAUGACAAAACACCCAUAUGAACCCCAUAUGGCAAAUAAACAUAUGUAAGAAUGUUCAACAUCACUGGCCAUUCAAUAAAUGCAAAUUAAAACAACACCAAGAUUCCAUCUCACUCCAGAAAGAAUGGCCAAGAUCAAGAUAUCAACUAAUAACAAAUGCUGGAGAGGUGUGGGGGAAAAGGAACUCUUCACAGUUGGUGGGAGUGUGGGCUGGUGCAACCACUGUGGAAAUCAGUGUGGAGAUUCUUCAAAAAGCUAGGAUUAGCGAUUCCAUUUGAUCCAGCUAUCCCAUUUCUGAGCAUUUCCCCAGAAGAACUGAAAACAUCAUACCACAUUCAUGCAUGUGAUCCCAUGUUCAUAACAACACAAUUUGUAAUAGGCAAGUCUUGGAAACAACUCAAAUGCCCAUCAACUGAGAAAUGGAUAAAAAAAAAAGAUGUGGUAUUUUUAUACAAUGGAAUACUACUCAGACAUAAAGAAAGAUUGUAUCAAGGCUUUUAUAAGUAAUUGGGUGCCGGUCGAGACCAUACUCAUAAGUGAAAUAAGUCAGACUCACGUGUAAAUACCAUACUAUCUCCCUAGUAUACGAAAAUGAAACAGCAAGUAAGAUCCAAAAUCUACAAUAAAUAUUCUGUAUGGGUAAGAAACUGCUCAAAGAGGAAAAGGAGGAAUAAAGGAAUAUGUAUGUAUGUAUAUAUAUAUAUAUAUAUAUAUAUAUAUAUAUAUAUACUAGCUAAGAUGAACAUGAUACUAAUUCUAUUAGUUCUCAGAAAACAAAAGUUAACACUCAUAUGAUCAGAGUUUUGCAUGCGUGUAUGCGGUAAUCUUAGCAACUCUUGAAGGUAACAAUAUGAAAUAUAACAACCAUUGUUAAAUUCCUGUCAUCUUGUUUUGAAAGCCUAUGUUGUUAUUGUUUUGUGUUUGUUGUUUGUGUGUUUAUCUUUUUUGCUUUUUGCUUUUCUUUUCUAUGUUCUUUUAAAUAAAAAAGGAGUGAUUUUUUUUCCCUCUCACUUUUCCUGCUCUAUUAAGUCAGUCCUAGUUAACUGUCAAACAGACACAAUGGAAACAAAUUCUGCCCUGAUCAAGCCUCAGUUUUCACCUGUCCCUUCUGAGCUGUUCACAUAUCUCUCAGAUGGCUCCAGUCACGUAACUAAAGGAAAUAAGCUCCCACUUAUUCUAUUUUAUAGUUAGUAAAAUAUUAGAGGUCCUCCUCUAAAGGAGGAUAGACAUCAUCACAACCCUCCCUAAAUCUGCACUUUCUGGGGUUAAAAAGUCAGCCAGUCUCAGGUUGAAACUGUUUUAAAACUUGCUUUUGAAUUACACACCUACAAAUUUUUCUUUAUAAAAAGAGUUUAUUUAGCCCUUUCAACAUAUCAGAUACUAGUAGUAGUCUAGAGAUGAUUUAAGCAUAUGGGAGGAUGUACAUAUCUUCCAUGCAAAUACUGUAUUUUACGUAAGAGACUUGAGUACCUGUGGAUUCUGGUGCCUAUUAGGGUCUAGGAUUCAGUCUCAGAUACCAAGGGAAAAUUGUACUUUAUUUAGGUCUAAAAAAUGUACUAGGAAGCACCAUAAAGCAUCAGAGAAAUCAGUCUGACAGUUUCCCCAAAAGUUUGACUGUGAGUCACAUUUUUAAAGAACUGGCAUGGCUCCUCCGAUGCUUCCCCUAUGGCGCUUCAUUCACCUCCCUGACUUUCCCUCAGACAUGCUGGCUGCUGUGGCUUGUAUCUACACGUCUCCCCAAGGCCUCAAGAGGUCACAGGUGGGGCCUUUUAGAGGUGGCUGGGUCUCAGGCAUGUGAUACUAGAAUUAAGGAUAUGAUCUUGGGCUUGAGUGUGUGACACUGAGAUUAAGGAGGGCCACCCUAGGUGUGGGUGGCAUAUCCCAAAAGGCAACUAGCCCGGACUGGAUAAAAGCAAGAGGCAGGCAGCUGCUGAGACUCCUGCUGCCGCCGCCGCCAUUGCUUGCUGCUUACUGCUUUCUGCCUCCCCUGCUUUGGCAUGGAUUGUUUUCUUCUUUGAUGACUCUCUGUCAUAUCCUGCUGCCUUGGAGCCAGCCCAAAGUGGACUGCAAACUGGCAGCCAAAAUAAACCUUUCCUGCUUUAACUUUGGGUGUUAAGUAUUUUGUCUCAGUGGUGAAAAAAAAAAAGAAAUUAAGACUCCGGGCUUAUGUGUUCCCCUGAAAUGCACCUGCAGACUUCAGUCUCUGUCUCAUGAAAGCACAAAGCAUUUAUGCUUCAGGAUAACUGUCACAUAAUUUUAUCCUAUUUUAUGUAUAUAAUUAGUUUCAGCUCUAUUCCUAUACAAUUUAAAGCCUAAUAGUUUCUAAGUAACUGUCUCAGAAAUUCUUCAAGAACACACAAAGAAGGAACAUCUACUCUUACAGUGCUGGAAUAGAAUUAGUAACUGGGGAAUUGGUACUUUGUUGGGAGCCGCGGCCGACACCGGUCGCCUUACUUGGCGGACGUAGGGCCUGUGGGUGGGAGCGGAGCCUGAGCUAGAUUGCCCCUCCCAUCGAGUGAGUCAAGUUGGCGCCUGCUUCCUGCCCCCUGAUUGCGCUGGCGACUUAAACAACCCGCUCUGUAAGAUAGUCUGCCUAGCAACAACUGAUGUUAGCCAGUCAGCCCGCAUCGCGCGCUUUGAACUGAUUGGCCACUGUUACCCUAUAAAAGUAAAUGCCUCUCCCGCCACAAGAGAGAAGCACAGAGGAAGCACAGAGAGAGACAGAGAAAGUCCACCGGCGAGAAAGGGCUGGUGACAGAGCGGAGGCCUCGCGGGGCCCACGCGGAGACAAAUAAAGGCAAGGUUGCACACCGCCAGACUUUGUUGUGUGUCUUUCCUGCCGGCCGGGAGCGACCCCGACAUUUGGUGACCCGCACGGGGACUGAUCAACCCCGAGACACGGCGGUGGUGUGCAACGCUCCAGCGUGGUGCUGCCGGACAGGAACCGGGACGAAAACCACUGUGGGUCCCAGAGAGGUUGACGCGACAAGUCCCUCGACUGAAGAUCAGGCCUGUUCCACCAGAGGCCAACCGCAGACCCAACAACAAGAUGAGCCCUAAAAGAACUGCAGGACAAUCCCUUUUUGGGGAGCCUGGAAUGGCUUGCUCCCCUAUGUUUUACCAUUGUUAGGUCCCCUGUGCUCCUUGCUUUUGCUCUUACUUAUAGGACCAUGCUUGCUCCGAUGGGUCACAUCAUUUAUUAAUGGGCGCCUUGCGGCGGCCCGGCGUCAAGUACGCCUGGUUGCCCAUGCGGCCCUGGCAGCAGCCCGUGAUGGGCACAAUGACCCCCAGGCUUACGCAUGGCUCGCUCGACUGGCCUACGACUGGGUCUAGGUGUGGCGGGUCUUCCGCACUCCUUCCCUAUUGACAGUACACAGCAGGGUAGGUGAGUCAAUGACGGGUAAGAGCGUGCCUCCCCAGCACGACUCGACCUAAGCCAGGCCCUACCCCAUGGCGCACGAAAGCCGCUGGAUUACUAGAAUCUGCCCAGAUCUAGAUGCCUCUCCGAGGGGAUCACACGGAGGGGCAUGAGUGCAUGCCUAUGUGCAUCCAGGUUCCGUCCAGUUCACUCCUGGCCCUGGAAAAAGGACGAGGGUCUCAAGGCCUUGGCGGACCCGGGGGCGGCCGACCAGGGUCCAAGCCAAGGGCCUACGGUGGGCCUCAACACAGGGCAUAAGCCUCUGCACUCGAUCCAGGGCGGGCUGCGAUGCAUACAUUCAUUCAAAGUAAAUAAAAUAGGGGGAGAUGUUGGGAGCCGCGGCCGACACCGGUCGCCUUGCUUGGCGGACGUAGGGCCUGUGGGUGGGAGCGGAGCCUGAGCUAGAUUGCCCCUCCCAUCGAGUGAGUCAAGUUGGCGCCUGCUUCCUGCCCCCUGAUUGCGCUGGCGACUUAAACAACCCGCUCUGUAAGAUAGUCUGCCUAGCAACAACUGAUGUUAGCCAAUCAGCCCGCAUCGCGCGCUUUGAACUGAUUGGCCACUGUUACCCUAUAAAAGUAAAUGCCUCUCCCGCCACAAGAGAGAAGCACAGAGGAAGCACAGAGAGAGACAGAGAAAGUCCACCGGCGAGAAAGGGCUGGUGACAGAGCGGAGGCCUCGCGGGGCCCACGCGGAGACAAAUAAAGGCAAGGUUGCACACCGCCA